rnacentral:misc_RNA from 1 species
UCAAACUUGGUCAUUUAGAGGAAGUAAAAGUCGUAACAAGGUCUCCGUUGGUGAACCAGCGGAGGGAUCAUUACAGGGUCUGACGACUGCCCAAACCAAACCGUGAACUAUUCCUUCUACAAUGCUUCGGCGAGCCGCUCGCUGGGGGAGCCGCUGAGGCCGGUCGCGAUUACCGGUGGCUCGUCGAAGCAUGCCACACAAAACUUGAUAGCAAACCUCUGAGAAAUUCUUUUUCCAACGAAAAAAAAUCACAACUCAUAACAAUGGAUCUCUUGGCUCUGGCAUCGAUGAAGAACGCAGC